rnacentral:rRNA from 1 species
AUUGAACGCUGGCGGAAUGCUUUACACAUGCAAGUCGAACGGCAGCACGGGGCAACCUGGUGGCGAGUGGCGAACGGGUGAGUAAUACAUCGGAACGUGCCCAAUCGUGGGGGAUAACGUAGCGAAAGUUACGCUAAUACCGCAUACGAUCUACGGAUGAAAGCGGGGGAUCGCAAGACCUCGCGCGAAUGGAGCGGCCGAUGUCAGAUUAGGUAGUUGGUGGGGUAAAGGCUCACCAAGCCAACGAUCUGUAGCUGGUCUGAGAGGACGACCAGCCACACUGGAACUGAGACACGGUCCAGACUCCUACGGGAGGCAGCAGUGGGGAAUUUUGGACAAUGGGCGCAAGCCUGAUCCAGCCAUUCCGCGUGCAGGAUGAAGGCCUCGGGUUGUAACUAGCUUUGUUACGGUAACGAACGGACGAGCUCUAAUAC